AAAUAUAAGGAAUACAAACAGACAGGUGCCGAGCUUAAAAGUAGCAAGCCAUCUUGAAAUCUCUGCGAAUCGGACGAAAAAACGAUUCAACUCUCCCUUCGUCAAAACUCAAAUUCUUCUCCUAUGCAACCCUAAUACCCAACCCAACUAAAAUGAUUGCUCAAACUCUUUUUAGCUAAACCUCAUAUUCACCGGCCCUUUCACGAUGUAGUCGAUUAAAUUUGUGGUGGUCUGAUUGAAUGUUGGUAUUUCCCCUAAACCUAAUUUUGAUGCUGUUGUUUUAGCCCAAUCUUCUUCCUGCUGUGGUCUCUUUAAUGGAGCUUUAUUUCGACUGAUUACCACAUGAUAUCUCUGAUGUAUGGAUUUAACAGAUUUGAUGGAUUUUAUUCACGGAUUUCAAUUUCUAUCAAAAGUAACCCUAGUUUCACCCCUAGAAGAGCAGUUUCUUCACCAGCUUUCACUUUUCUCUUCUCUGGUGAGACAGCGGGUCCUCAAUGCGGCUGGUCUUCUCUACAAGUUCCAAGGAGCACUGUUCAUCCCCCUGGUGUAUUGUUGUCUUCCCGGAAUCAUUUUUUUAUCCCCUUUUCAGCUGAGGAUUUUGAAGUGGCAAUAGGAGAUUAAAACAGAUACUGUCACAUGAUUGGACAUGAACACCAAGACUGCAUUGAUGUACUUUUGCUCAACAACCAACAUAUGCUGCCUCAAGCUCCUUCACCAGCUCCUCAUAAGCCAGUUCUUCAUGCUCUUGGACAUUUUAUUGAAACGGAUUAUGAUGAUGAAUACUAUGAAGAAAUGAUUCACAAUGUGGAUUUUGAAGAUCCUGAUCCUGAGUGGAGUGACUCGGGUUCAAACCCUUUUGGCUCCCCUGCAUCCUCUGGUCAAAACAAAUCUACUAUCUCAUUCUUUGAUGGAGAAGGAUACCAGCAAGAAGGUUUUCAUUCUGAUUCUUCCUUGGACUCUACAAGAACCAUCUCUGAGGCUUGGCUAGUUGAAGCAAACAACAUACUUGAAGAUCCAGUCGAAGAAAUUAUACCUCUGCCACCAUCUCAACCAGCUGAGAUGUAGCAACCUUUUAGUCCUUCCAUGUUUUUGGUAUCAGACAUUGAAGAAUAAGACUUAUUUUUAGACACUGACCUUCGAAGCCCUGCCGUAAAGAUCUCAACCCUGAGCAGCAAUCAUACCUCCAGAGCGCUGGCAUUGGUUCUUCAUCAGGCCCGGAAUCAUCAAGGAUUGUCACUGCUGAAGAACAUGAUCAAUGGACUAACAUCUUUCAACCAGCCAAAAUGUUCAAUGGAUCAAACAAUAACUACUCCAUCUAUCAAUUCAAUCAUCUACACCUUCAAUACUGCUUCCAUUGAAGAAAUUUCUAUACAGCCUACCACUAUGGCUUCACCUGCAGCCACUUUAUAAUGACAACACCAACAAAAUCAUGAUCAGACUCACCCAAAGCAAAAAAGACACAUCUUAAGGGCCGGUGGAUAUCACAUUUUUUUGGUUCUCUCUGUUAAUAGUUCAUCUUUGAAUGUAUAAUUAUGCUUGCUAAUUUCCCUGGUAGAUUCUAGGUUGAGCUGGUGGCUUUAAGUUUUUAGGUUCCACCUUUCUUGCUUGCUCACUUAGUUUUUGUUACUUGUUUAUAUUCUUGUGUGUAUGCAUAUAAUAAUUCUGUUCAAUAGUAGUGUAUGCUCUCCAUCUAAAUUUCUCUCCUGCUAGUUAAGCUUCUUAGUUUUA